rnacentral:rRNA from 1 species
GAUGAACGCUGGCGGCGUGCCUAACACAUGCAAGUCGAGCGGAGAAUUGUUGCUUGCAACAAUUCUUAGCGGCGGACGGGUGAGUAACACGUGGGUAACCUGCCCUAAACAAAGGGAUAACAAUGAGAAAUCAUUGCUAAUACCGUAUAAGCUUACACUAUCGAAUGAUAGAGUAAGAAACGAUUUAUCGGUUUAGGAGGGGCCCGCGUCUGAUUAGCUAGUUGGAGAGGUAACGGCUCACCAAGGCGACGAUCAGUAGCCGACCUGAGAGGGUGAUCGGCCACAUUGGGACUGAGACACGGCCCAAACUCCUACGGGAGGCAGCAGUGGGGAAUAUUGCACAAAGGAGGAAACUCUGAUGCAGCAACGCCGCGUGAAGGAAGAAGGUUUUCGGAUCGUAAACUUCUAUCUACAGGGAAGAAAAAAAUGACGUUACCUGAGGAAGAAGCCCCGGCUAACUACGUG